AAAGCGAUAAAUUUAAAGCCCACUGCAGCAGAACGAGCGACAACAACAACCGGGUCGUCGCGUCGUUGUUUACGCGGAUUGCUGGUGAUUUUUCCUGUGCACCGUUUUUCCGCUCGGAAAAGCCACUGUGAAGGGCAUGGCGGCAAAGAGACAAAGUCCAAAAGAAGAAAAAAAACGAACGAUGGAGCUCUUCAAAGGCAAAAGUUUGGAGGGAAACAGGGCGGGAAAAACUUUCUUCGACCGUGCGUUUCAAGUUUUUCCUUCGGAUUGGCCGGAGAGACCGAUACCGCCCAUCAUCAUCAUCAUCAUCAUCAGGCCGGCCAGCUAGCUGCCUUUGGAUGAACUUCCCGGAAUUCCGCCAGCUGUACACGCGUUUCGGUGUCGCGCGCGUCCGCCGUUCAUCAUUUGCUACCGAUCUAUGCCGAUCGAUAAUUGUUCGCUCAAACAAACCGACAACCGAUAACAAGCUUAACGGAAAAGAAAAGUGGAAUCAUUGAAAGGGAAAGAAAGAGAGAGAGAGAGGGAAUACAAAAUCGCAAAAGCAAUUACAUACUAUGGGAUGCAAACAUUGUACAACAAACAAAACAUACAAAGCAACAAAAGCAAACAAACAAAACAAAACAUACAAAGCAAACAAGAGCAAUAAGAUGGUGUAAAAAAAAGCAAGUAUAAUGCAAAACACAAACAACCUACGCGUAUGAGUAAUAACAACAACCGUAACAACAAUAACAACAACUCGAUACACUCAACACAACCUCCAUUUUUAAUAAUAUUUAUAAAUAUAUAGCCUAUAUCGUAUGCUUAAACAACUUCGCUUACAAUUGUUAUAAAAAAAAACAUA